UACGUAGGGUGCAAGCGUUAAUCGGAAUUACUGGGCGUAAAGCGUGCGCAGGCGGCUUUGCAAGUCAGAUGUGAAAUCCCCGGGCUCAACCUGGGAACUGCAUUUGUGACUGCAAGGCUGGAGUACGGCAGAGGGGGAUGGAAUUCCGCGUGUAGCAGUGAAAUGCGUAGAUAUGCGGAGGAACACCGAUGGCGAAGGCAAUCCCCUGGGCCUGUACUGACGCUCAUGCACGAAAGCGUGGGGAGCAAACAGG
rnacentral:rRNA from 1 species